GCCUGGAGGAAGGGCAGGGCCGCGGGCUCGGCACUGGGAACAAAGGGGACCGGCGGAAGGAACGCCCCCAGUCGAUCCCGGAGCGAUGCCCGGGUGGACCAGGGGCUUAGCUCCGGAGAGAGGUUUCCCACUGGAUUCGUGCACAGCCCCUCCCCUGCGGCGCCGGCUCUGCGAGCCCCAGUUUCCUCAUCUGGCAGCUGGAAACAAAUCCUUCCGGAAGUGUCCAGGACCCACGAAAGUGUUUUAAUUUCUUUUAGUUUUGGUAAAAAGUACUAAACGCGACCGGGCGUGGGGGCUCACGCCUGUAAUCCCAGCACUUUGGGAGACCGAGGCUGACGGAUCACUUGAGGUCAGGAGUUCGAGGCCAGUCUGGCCAACAUGGUGAAACCCCGUCUCUGCUCAAAAUACAAAAAUUAGCCGGGCGUGGUGGCAUGCGCCUGUAAUCCCAGGUACUCGGGUGACUGAGGCAGGAGAAUCGCUUGAACCCGGGAGGCGGAGGUUGCAGUGAGCCAAGAUCGCACCAUUGCACUCCAGCCUGAGCGACAGAGCGAGACCCUAUCUCAAAUAAAUAAAUACAUACAUAAAAAGGGCAGGGCACGGUGGCUCACGCCUGUAAUCCCAACACUUUGGGAGGCCGAGGCGGGCGGAUCACCUGAGGUCAGGAGUUCGAGACCAGCCUGGUCAACAUGGUAAAACCCCUUCUCUACUAAUAACACAAAAAUUAGCUGGGCAUGGUGGCGGGCGCCUGUAGUCUCAGCUACUCAAGAGGCUGAGUCACGAGAACCGCUUGAACCCAGGAGGUGGAGGUUGCAGUGAGCCAAGAUCACACCACCGCACUCCAGCCUAGGCAACAGAGUGAAACUGUGUCAAAAAAAAAAAAAAAAAGAAAAAGAAAAAGAAAGAAAGAAGAAAGAAAGAAAAGAAAAGAAAAAAGAAAAGAGAAGAAAAAGUACUGAAUGCAGUGGAAAGUAGCAUUUUUAAUUUUUUAUAAAGUGGAAGAUAGGCCCACAAAGCAAAAGUGCCCAGAGCUGACAAAAAUCUCUGGAGAAAGGACCUCUCUGGUCGUUGCCAAAGGGAGCAGCUGACGCUGUUGUAAAGCCCGCAGCUCGAUUCCCAGCGUGAAGUAGGGGGCGGACUUUGUCUACACACCAGGGAAGAUGGCUUCAGGCAGUCCACAUACUCCCAUGCCUAUGACACAAAGUUUGCGUCAAAUGCCGAAUGACCGUAGAAAGGUGGACGUUGAGUUCUUCAGCAGCUUCUGGUGUAGUUGUAAGAGGACCAGCUUCCGUGAUUGCUCUCAGUUGGUGGUUGUCAACUUCCGACGACUGGCCGCUACGCUCCUCAUCUUCAAGGCUCUCCUCUCUUUUGCAAAACUUCUUGAACCCCCACUGCACGGUAACUGUGGCCACGUGGACCAAGCCAACGCCGGCUCCUCUCAUUCCCAUUGAGAUCAGCAAGGCAACUCCAGCCUGUACCACCAAUAUCCCCAGGCCAGGAGAACAGCCAGUGAAAGCCCAUUUGAAAGACUGCCAUAUUCCUCACCAAUCCGUUUCUCAAGGCCAAGAUGUUCCGUCAAGGUGCAUACAACAGGAAAUUAUAAAUCCCUCUCAACCGGGCGCAGUGGCUCACGCCUGGAAUCCCAGCACUUUGGGAGGCCGAGGUGGGUGGAUCACCUGGGGUCAGGAGUUUGAGACCAGCCUGACCAAUAUAGUGAAACCUCAACUCUACUAAAGAUACAAAAUUAGCUGGGCGUGGUGGCGCAUGCCUGUAAUUCCAGCUCCUUGGGAGGCUGAGGCAGAAGAAUUGCUUGAACCCAGGAGGCGGAGGUUCCAGUGACUGAAGAUUGUGCCAUUGCACUCCAGCCUGGGCAACAAGAGCGAAACUCCAUCUCAAAAAUAAAAAUAAAAAUAAAAAAUAAAAUCCCU
ensembl:lncRNA novel transcript